rnacentral:rRNA from 1 species
UUGCUUCUUUGCUGACGAGUGGCGGACGGGUGAGUAAUGUCUGGGAAACUGCCUGAUGGAGGGGGAUAACUACUGGAAACGGUAGCUAAUACCGCAUAACGUCGCAAGACCAAAGAGGGGGACCUUCGGGCCUCUUGCCAUCGGAUGUGCCCAGAUGGGAUUAGCUUGUUGGUGGGGUAACGGCUCACCAAGGCGACGAUCCCUAGCUGGUCUGAGAGGAUGACCAGCCACACUGGAACUGAGACACGGUCCAGACUCCUACGGGAGGCAGCAGUGGGGAAUAUUGCACAAUGGGCGCAAGCCUGAUGCAGCCAUGCCGCGUGUAUGAAGAAGGCCUUCGGGUUGUAAAGUACUUUCAGCGGGGAGGAAGGGAGUAAAGUUAAUACCUUUGCUCAUUGACGUUACCCGCAGAAGAAGCACCGGCUAACUCCGUGCCAGCAGCCGCGGUAAUACGGAGGGUGCAAGCGUUAAUCGGAAUUACUGGGCGUAAAGCGCACGCAGGCGGAUUGUU